rnacentral:tRNA from 1 species
GUGAUUGUAGCUCAGCUGGUUAGAGCGCUGGUUUGUGGCACCAGAGGUCGCCGGUUCGAACCCGG